ensembl:lncRNA
GAGUUCCAGAGCCUGGGUGCUGAACAGCUGAAUGACCGGGCACCCAUUGAAGAAGUUCCUGCUCAACCAGCUCCGGAUCUCUUCCAGGCACGUGAUGAGGGAGGUGGGGGGGAUGGCAGCGGUGGGUUUGGUGGAGAUGUAGACCUGUGUGUCGUCAGCAUAGCAAUGAAAAUGGACCCCAUGGUGACGGAGGAGUGUGCCCAGCGGGAGGAGGUAAGUGGUGAAGAGGAGUGGACCCAAGACUGACCCCUGGGGGACGCCCAGUGAGACACCUGAACACCCAGACUUGUGGUUGCUUAGUUGAACAAAUUGUUGACGGCCGGUGAGGUAGGAUGUAAACCAGGAGAGUGCAGCACCAGUGAUCCCAAUACCAGCUAGGCGGUCCAGGAGCAGAGGGUGGGAGAUGGUGUCGAAUGCUGCGCUGAGAUCGAGGAGGAUGAGAAUGGUUGUGAAGUCGGAAGAAGCCAGCGGUAGAUCCAGGCGAUUAUGGUGAAGCCACAGAGCCAGCACAGCGGAGGCAGAGGAGUGGAGCAAGCCGGUUAUAGCUACGCUGGAGACGGG